UUUAUGGAGAGUUUGAUCCUGGCUCAGGACGAACGCUGGCGGCGUGCCUAAUACAUGCAAGUCGAGCGGACUUGAUGGAGUGCUUGCACUCCUGAUAGUUAGCGGCGGACGGGUGAGUAACACGUAGGCAACCUGCCCGUAAGACUGGGAUAACAUUCGGAAACGAAUGCUAAUACCGGAUACGCGAUUUUCUCGCAUGAGGAAAUCGGGAAAGAAGGAGCAAUCUUUCACUUACGGAUGGGCCUGCGGCGCAUUAGCUAGUUGGUGGGGUAACGGCCCACCAAGGCGACGAUGCGUAGCCGACCUGAGAGGGUGAUCGGCCACACUGGGACUGAGACACGGCCCAGACUCCUACGGGAGGCAGCAGUAGGGAAUCUUCCGCAAUGGACGAAAGUCUGACGGAGCAACGCCGCGUGAGUGAAGAAGGCUUUCGGGUCGUAAAGCUCUGUUGCCAGGGAAGAACACUUGAGAGAGUAACUGCUCUUGAGUUGACGGUACCUGAGAAGAAAGCCCCGGCUAACUACGUGCCAGCAGCCGCGGUAAUACGUAGGGGCAAGCGUUGUCCGGAAUUAUUGGGCGUAAAGCGCGCGCAGGCGGCUUUGUAAGUCUGUCGUUUAAGUUCGGGGCUCAACCCCGUGUCGCGAUGGAAA
rnacentral:ncRNA from 1 species